rnacentral:rRNA from 1 species
AGCUAAUACUUGCUUUAGCACUCUUGAUUAAGUUCUUGAGUGUGUACUUGUUAAGCCUUUUAAGAAAAAAGUUAUUAACUUAAGGAAUUAUAACAAAGAAGCAACACGUAAAUGGAUUUUCCAUUUUUUAGUGUGUAUCAAUCGAGUUUCUGACCUAUCAGCUUUUGAUGUUAGGGUAUUGGCCUAACAUGGCUAUGACGGGUAACGGGGAAUUAGAGUUCGAUUCCGGAGAGGGAGCCUGAGAAAUAGCUACCACAUCUAAGGAAGGCAGCAGGCGCGUAAAUUACCCAAUUCUAAAGAAGAGAGGUAGUGACAAGAAAUAACAAUACAAGGCCAAUCUGGCUUUGUAAUUGGAAUGAUGGGAAUUUAAAACCUUCCCAAAACUCAAUUGGAGGGCAAGUCUGGUGCCAGCAGCCGCGGUAAUUCCAGCUCCAAUAGCGUAUAUUAAAAUUGUUGCAGUUAAAACGCUCGUAGUUGAAUUUCAAAGAAUCGAUAUUUUAAGUAGCACUUUGUAGAUUAAUCCACAUAACUGAUACUACGUAUCGACUUUGUGCGCAUUUUUCUACUUAUGUGUUCUUUUAAUUAAAAUGAUUCUUUUUAAGAUCUUUCUUUUUUGCUUCGGCAUUUUAGGAGAUCUUGUUACUUUGAGUAAAUUAGAGUGUUCAAAGCAAACAGAUUAUAGCAUCUUUAUGCGUUUGAAUACUACAGCAUGGAAUAACAAAAUUGAACAAGUCAGAAUUUUGUUCUUUUUUCUUAUUUUGGCUUAGUUACGAUUAAUAGGAGUAGCUUGGGGGCAUUUGUAUUUAGAUGUCAGAGGUGAAAUUCUUAGAUUUUCUGGAGACAAACAACUGCGAAAGCAUUUGCCUAAAAUACUUCCAUUAAUCAAGAACGAAAGUUAAGGGAGUGAAGACGAUCAGAUACCGUCGUAAUCUUAACCAUAAACUAUGCCGACUAGGCUUUGGAUGAAAGAUUUUAAAAUAAGAGUUUUUUCUCU